GCCCGCUUAGCUCAGUGGUAGAGCGCAUCACUAGUAUCCUAAUACAAGAUUCCGACAUGAUGAAGUCCUCAGUUCGACUCUGGGAGUGGGCU